GCCAGGUGCGGUGGCUUGUGCCUGUAGUCUCAGCUACUCAGGAGGCUGAGGCUGGAGGAUCGUUUGAGUCCAGGAGUUCUGGGCUGUAGUGCGCUAUGCCAAUCGGGUGUCCGCACUAAGUUCGGAAUCAAUAUGGUGACCUCCCAGGAGCCAGGGACCACCAGGUUGCCUAAGGAAGGGUGAACCGGCCCGGAAACGAAGUAGGUCAAAAUUCCUGUGCUGAUCUGUAGUGGGAUCGUGCCUGUGAAUAGCCACUGCAUGCCAGCCUGGGCAACAUAAUGAGACCCCGUCUCU
ensembl:misc_RNA Metazoa_SRP Metazoan signal recognition particle RNA